rnacentral:tRNA from 1 species
GAGGGAUGCCCGAGUGGUUAAAGGGGACGGACUGUAAAUCCGUUGGCUCAGCCUACGUUGGUUCAAAUCCAACUCCCUCC